AUACGGAGGAUCCGAGCGUUAUCCGGAUUUAUUGGGUUUAAAGGGUGCGUAGGUGGUUUGAUAAGUCAGCGGUGAAAGUUUGCAGCUUAACUGUAAAAAUGCCGUUGAAACUGUCGGACUUGAGUGUAAAUGAGGUAGGCGGAAUGCGUGGUGUAGCGGUGAAAUGCAUAGAUAUCACGCAGAACUCCGAUUGCGAAGGCAGCUUACUAAGCUACAACUGACACUGAAGCACGAAAGCGUGGGGAUCGAACAGGAUUAGAUACCCUGGUAGUCCACGCAGUAAGCGAUGAUUACUAGCUGUUUGCGAUACACAGUAAGCGGCACAGCGAAAGCGUUAAGUAAUCCACCUGGGGAGUACGCCGGCAACGGUGAAACUCAAAGGAAUUGACGGGG
rnacentral:rRNA from 1 species